rnacentral:ncRNA from 2 species
UUCUUAUCCAGAGAGGUGGAGGGGCUGGCCCUUUGAGACCUCAGCAACCGUCUAAAAAGACAAGGUGCUAAUUCCAGCAAGCAUGUAAAUAUGCUUGGAAGAUGAGAG